rnacentral:rRNA from 1 species
AUUGAACGCUGGCGGCAGGCCUAACACAUGCAAGUCGAACGAGUGGCGGACGGGUGAGUAAUGUCUGGGAAACUGCCAGAUGGAGGGGGAUAACUACUGGAAACGGUAGCUAAUACCGCAUACCAUCGGAUGUGCCCAGAUAGGAUUAGCUUGUAGGUGAGGUAACGGCUCACCUAGGAGACGAUCCCUAGCUGGUCUGAGGGGAUGACCAGCCACAUUGGAACUGGGACACGUGCCAGACUCCUACGGGAGGCAGCAUUGGGGAAUAUUGCACAAUGGGCGCAAGCCUGAUGCAGCCAUGCCGCGUGUAUGAAGAAGGCCUUCGGGUUGUAAAGUACUUUCAGCGGGGAGGCGUUACCCGCAGAAGAAGCACCGGCUAACUCCGUGCCAGCAGCCGCGGUAUAC